AACGAGACCUUAACCUGCUAAAUAGCCCACGUUGCUUCGGCAGCGCGCUGGCUUCUUAGAGGGACUAUCGGCUCAAGCCGAUGGAAGUUUGAGGCAAUAACAGGUCUGUGAUGCCCUUAGAUGUUCUGGGCCGCACGCGCCCUACACUGACGGAGCCAGCGAGUCCUCCCUUGGCCGAAAGGCCUGGGUAAUCUUGUGAAACUC
rnacentral:rRNA from 1 species